rnacentral:rRNA from 1 species
GACGAACGCUGGCGGCGUGCUUAACACAUGCAAGUCGAACGGAAAGGCCCUGCUUUUGUGGGGUGCUCGAGUGUCGAACGGGUGAGUAACACGUGAGUAACCUGCCCUUGACUUUGGGAUAACUUCAGGAAACUGGGGCUAAUACCGGAUAUGACCUCCUGCUGCAUGGUGGGGGUUGGAAAGUUUCGGCGGUUGUGGAUGGACUCGCGGCUUAGCAGCUUGUUGGUGAGGUAGUGGCUUACCAAGGCUUGGACGGGUAGCCGGCCUGCGAGGGUGACCGGCCACAUUGGGACUGAGAUACGGCCCAGACUCCUACGGGAGGCAGCAGUGGGGAAUAUUGCACAAUGGGCGGAAGCAGGAUGCAGCAACGCCGCGUGCGGGAUGACGGCCUUCGGGUUGUAACCCGUUUUCGCCUGUGACGAAGAGUGAGUGACGGUAAUGGGUAAAGAAGCAACGGCUAACUACGUG